AUUGAACGCUGGCGGCAGGCCUAACACAUGCAAGUCGAGCGAGCGGCGGACGGGUGAGUAAUGUAUGGGAAACUGCCUGAUAGAGGGGGAUAACUACUGGAAACGGUAGCUAAUACCGCAUACAAUCAGAUGAACCCAGAUGGGAUUAGCUAGUAGGUGGGGUAAAGGCUCACCUAGGCGACGAUCCCUAGCUGGUCUGAGAGGAUGAACAGCCACACUGGGACUGAGACACGGCCCAUACUCCUACGGGAGGCAGCAGUGGGGAAUAUUGCACAAUGGGCGCAAGCCUGAUGCAGCCAUGCCGCGUGUAUGAAGAAGGCCUUAGGUUUGUAAAGUACUUUCGGCGGGGAGGCGUUACCCGCAGAAGAAGCACCGGCUAACUCCGUGCCAGCCGCCGCGGUAAUAC
rnacentral:rRNA from 1 species